AGAAAUUGCAUGGCUCUUUCGGCCGCAUCUUGGCUGGUAACUUGAUCGUCUUUGGGGUCGUACCAGUUAAUGUUCAACGUGAUCCCUGCCUUACCUGUUGGAUUUGCAUCACAACCGACGAUCAUCCCAAUUAUGAAAAAAAAGCUAGAAAUGGUCAAGUCAUUUCGGCGGCUACCGUCAGCAUCCCAUCCGCCUUCUAUCUGAUGGGCACUCGUUGCCGCUGCCCACAUGAAGUCGGUUGGAAACGUGUCGUAGAGUAGCGGCUCAUCGACGUAAAUACCGGUGACGGUGCCCACCACUACCAGUAGCAAACAUGUUAAUUUCAUCGCCAUCUACACGUACACA